CUUUUGAGGUGCAUCAAGCCAAG
rnacentral:piRNA from 1 species